rfam:Capsicum annuum cultivar Zunla-1 chromosome 1, whole genome shotgun sequence
AAUCCGAACUUUGGAAAAAAGAUUGGCUUUGAGGGUUGGUCAUUAGGGUCCCACUCUCAAACCCAUCAACUAUUGGUGGGCUGCUCGAGCUGCUUCUACGGUAAGAGCAGGUCACCACGUACCGGAUAAGGGAUGGACUGGGAAUAAUUCCUUCUAUGAACUUUACCGUGUGUUGAACAUCCAACUCAAAACUAGUACGAACAAGGAGAAUCAGAUUGUUUAAUUAAAAUAAAGCAUUGUGAUGGUCCUAAUGGAUGUUCACACAAUGUGAUUUCUUUCAAUUGUUAUUGUCUACUUCUCAUUCUAUAUUUCUAUGGAAAAGAAUUUGUGAUUAUU